rfam:Brassica napus, WGS project CCCW01000000 data, contig: 2630
GGAAUAUAAGAACCUGACUCUUAACUUUUAAUUUAAAAAAACUAAGAACCGGCUCUUAAAUAAGAGUUUACGGUUCUUAGUUUUUUUAGUUAAAAGUUAAGAGACGAGUUUUUAUAUUUC